UACGGAGGGUGCGAGCGUUGUCCGGAAUCACUGGGCGUAAAGGGCGCGUAGGUGGCGACGCAAGUCAACGGUGAAAGCUCGACGCUCAACGUCGAGUCGGCCGCGGUACUGCAUCGCUGGAGCACUGUAGAGGCAGAUGGAAUUCCGGGUGUAGCGGUGGAAUGCGUAGAGAUCCGGAAGAACACCGGUGGCGAAGGCGGUCUGCUGGGCAG
rnacentral:rRNA from 1 species